GAUAAGAGACUGUGGGUGCAGAACAGUUGCAGCAGAGUAGGGUGCAGCAAAACAGGGACCUUAUGGUGCCUGCCAGUGUUACACAACAGGAGCGCCUGCAUCCUCCUAGCCUCGCUGCAGGGGCAUGGCUGUAGCCAGAGCUCCAUGGUCAGAGACAAGAGCCAGCUGGGAGAUAGAGCACAAGCAAGUUACAGAAGCAAGAAAAAGCAGUUAGUCGUAACAAGUGGACGGUCAUGGCUGUACGUUUUGGGGUGGGGUCACCGAGUCGGGGUUACUGGGAACUUACCUUCCAGGAACUGGCGUCAGAGACAUACAGCUGGGAACUGUGCUGGACUUGUGAAGGGUUUAGCUCCUACCACCUUAGCGGGACAGCAAGAAUGUCUUAAUGGAUUCCAGUGGACCUAAUUCAGACAUGCCCAAAGAAUUGGUCCAUGGAGAAUCUAAAUCUCAUCAAAUUGACAGCCAAGACGACCAUCACACCUUCCAAAGUUUCACGACUUUCCAGCAUCAUCACAAACUGGUAACUGAUUAUUUAGCAGAUGGACUGUGGGACACACUGAGUAC